rfam:Perkinsus marinus ATCC 50983 gcontig_1104296751928, whole genome shotgun sequence.
GACCGCGUGUCCGAGUGGUUAAGGAGGUGGACUUAAAAUCCACAAGGCUGUGCCUGCGCAGGUUCGAAUCCUCCGGCUGUCG